rnacentral:rRNA from 1 species
AAUGAACGUUGGCGGCGUGGAUUAGGCAUGCAAGUCGAGCGCGAUAUGUAGCAAUACAUGGAGAGCGGCGAAAGGGAGAGUAAUACGUAGGUAUCUACCCUCGGGUCUGGGAUAGCAGCGGGAAACUGCUGGUAAUACCAGAUAACGUCUCCGGACCAAAGGUGUGAUUCCACCUGAGGAGGAGCCUACGGCCUAUUAGCUAGUUGGUAGGGUAACGGCCUACCAAGGCAAAGAUGGGUAUGGGGUGUGAGAGCAUGCCCCCAUCACUGGACUGAGACACUGCCCAGACACCUACGGGUGCUGCAGUCGAGAAUCUUCGGCAAUGGGCGAAAGCCUGACCGAGCGACGCCGCGUGCGGGAUGAAGGCCUCGGUGUAACGCUGUCGUAGUGGAGGAAA